UACGUAGGGUGCAAGCGUUGUCCGGAAUUACUGGGCGUAAAGAGUGUGUAGGCGGUGCUCUAAGUUCGGUGUGAAAUCUCCUGGCUCAACUGGGAGGGUGCGCCGGAAACUGGAGUGCUUGAGCGUGGGAGAGGAAAGCGGAAUUCCUGGUGUAGCGGUGAAAUGCGUAGAUAUCAGGAGGAACACCUGUGGUGUAGACGGCUUUCUGGACCAUAGCUGACGCUGAGACACGAAAGCGUGGGUAGCAAACAGG
rnacentral:rRNA from 1 species